UGGGGAAUCUUGCGCAAUGGGGGAAACCCUGACGCAGCAACGCCGCGUGGGUGAUGAAGGUCUUCGGAUCGUAAAGCCCUGUCGGAGGGAACGAUGGCCUCGUUGGCUAAUAUCCAACGGGGUUGACGGUACCCUCAAAGGAAGCACCGGCUAACUCUGUGCCAGCAGCCGCGGUAAGACAGAGGGUGCAAGCGUUGUUCGGAAUUAUUGGGCGUAAAGCGCGCGUAGGCGGCCAACUAAGUCGGGUGUGAAAGCCCAGGGCUCAACCCUGGAAGUGCAUUCGAUACUGGCUGGCUUGAGUGUUGGAGAGGGUGGUGGAAUUCCUGGUGUAGAGGUGAAAUUCGUAGAUAUCAGGAGGAACACCGGUGGCGAAGGCGACCGCCUGGACAAUUACUGACGCUGAGGUGCGAAAGCGUGGGGAGCAAACAGG
rnacentral:rRNA from 1 species